GUUUCCCCGCCCUGCCCCACGCCACUCAAAUGCAGGAUGGCCACUGGGGAGCUGGGACUACAGCUCCCGGCGUGCACUGCGCCAGCAGGAUAGUACCUGGCUACAUUUUAUUCUGAAAAACUUCUUCCUGCCUGCUGCAGCUGACCUUCAGGAUGCUCCUUGGUCUCCCAAGCAAGGUGCCAUAGCUCAGUCA
rnacentral:lncRNA from 1 species